rnacentral:lncRNA from 1 species
CUGCUUGGAGUGAGACAUGGGCAGGACUUUUGGGACUAUUCCAUUGGUUCUAUUGCACCUGGCAAGCUCAGUCAAGCACAGUAAAGUAUUUAGAAAGAAAGCAAAUACUAUUUGAACCCAGGUUUGCUACUAGCCCACUUCAAAGAAGUAGAAUGAGGAGGAGGAGUGUAGGUACGUGUCUGAGUGUGUGUUUAGGGUUUACGUUAGGGGAAAAGGUGUCUGAGGGUGUGUUUAGGGUUUAUGUUAGGGGAAAAGGUGUCUGAGGGUGUGUUUAGGGUUUACGUUAGGGGAAAAGGUGUCUGAGGUUGUGUUUAGGGUUUACGUUAGGGGAAAAGGUGUCUGAGGGUGUGUUUAAGGUUUACGUUAGGGGAAAAAGACCACGAGGUCAAUGAAACGCUCUCUGUAUCAGUUUCAGCAGUUUGUGCCUCAGAACAAUUUCAACUAGUUCUACAUUUCCC